rnacentral:rRNA from 1 species
UGGGAAUCUGCCCAGUAGUGGGGGACAACAGCCGGAAACGGCUGCUAAUACCGCAUACGCCCUACGGGGGAAAGGGGGGGAUCUUCGGACCUCUCGCUAUUGGAUGAGCCCGCGUCGGAUUAGCUAGUUGGUAGGGUAAAGGCCUACCAAGGCUACGAUCCGUAACUGGUCUGAGAGGAUGAUCAGUCACACUGGAACUGAGACACGGUCCAGACUCCUACGGGAGGCAG